GGACGAACGCUGGCGGCGUGGAUUAGGCAUGCAAGUCGAACGCGAACGGAUACCUUCGGGUUUCUUAUUAGAGUGGCGGACGGGUGAGUAACGCGUAGAUAAUCUACCUUUAAGUGGGGGAUAGCCCCGGGAAACCGGGAUUAAUACCGCAUGUGGAACUUCGGUUCUAAAGAUGGCCUCUGUUUCAAGCUGUUGCUUAAAGAUGAGUCUGCGUCCUAUUAGCUAGUUGGUGAGGUAACUGCUCACCAAGGCGAUGAUAGGUAGGCGGCCUUAACGGGUGGUCGCCCACACUGGGAUUGAGAUACGGCCCAGACUCCUACGGGAGGCAGCAGUCGAGAAUAGUCUACAAUGGACGAAAGUCUGAUAGUGCGACGCCGCGUGGAUGAAGAAGCAUUUCGGUGUGUAAAAUCCUUUUCUUUGUGAGCAAUGGCCUGUACAUAAAUAGUGUGCGGGACGAGAUAUUAGCAGAGGAAUAAGCUCCGGCUAACUCCGUGCCAGCAGCCGCGGUAACACGGGGGGAGCAAGCGUUGUCCGGAAUCACUAGGCGUAAAGGGCAAGUAGGCGGAAGUAUCAGUCAGAUGUUAAAGGCACGGGCUCAACCGGUGUAUGGCAUUUGAUACUGUAUUUCUAGAGUAAGGUAGGGGAAGACGGAAUUCCCGGUGUAGCGGUGGAAUGCGCAGAUAUCGGGAGGAACACCGGAGGCGAAGGCGGUCUUCUAUGCCAUUACUGACGCUGAAUUGCGAAGGUGUGGGUAUCGAACAGGAUUAGAUACCCUGGUAGUCCACACAGUAAACGAUGUGCACCAGAUGUUGGGGGAGAUAAUCUUUCAGUGUCGCAGUUAACGCGUUAAGUGCAUCGCCUGGGGAGUACGGUCGCAAGAUUAAAACUCAAAGGAAUUGACGGGGGCCCGCACAAGCGGUGGAGCAUGUGGUUUAAUUCGAUGCAACGCGCAGAACCUUACCCGGGUUUGACAUCCCGAGAAGUCUGCAGAGAUGCGGAUGUGCCCCUUCGGGGGAACUUGGUGACAGGUGCUGCAUGGCUGUCGUCAGCUCGUGUCGUGAGAUGUUGGGUUAAGUCCCGCAACGAGCGCAACCCUUAUCUUUAGUUGCUAGCAGGUAAUGCUGAGAACUCUAGGGAGACUGCCAGUGUAAUAAACUGGAGGCAGGUGGGGACGACGUCAAGUCAUCAUGGUCCUUAUGUCCAGGGCUACACACGUGCUACAAUGGAUAAUACAGAGGGUUGCGAACCCGUGAUGCUGCGCUAAUCUCAGAAAGCCGAUCUCAGUUCGGAUUGGAGUCUGCAAUUCGACGCCAUGAAGUUGGAAUCGCUAGUAAUCGCGUGUCAGCGUGGCGCGGUGAAUACGUUCCCGGGCCUUGUACUCACCGCC
rnacentral:rRNA from 1 species